UACGGAGGGGGCUAGCGUUGUUCGGAAUUACUGGGCGUAAAGCGCACGUAGGCGGCUUUGUAAGUUAGAGGUGAAAGCCCGGGGCUCAACUCCGGAACUGCCUUUAAGACUGCAUCGCUUGAACAUCGGAGAGGUAAGUGGAAUUCCGAGUGUAGAGGUGAAAUUCGUAGAUAUUCGCAAGAACACCAGUGGCGAAGGCGGCUCACUGGCUCGAUACUGACGCUGAGGUGCGAAAGCGUGGGGAGCAAACAGG
rnacentral:rRNA from 1 species